rnacentral:rRNA from 1 species
CCUACGGGCGGCUGCAGUGAGGAAUAUUGGUCACUGGGCGCGAGCCUGAACCAGCCAAGUAGCGUGACGGAUGCCUGCCCUACGGGUUGUAAACUUCUUUUAUAUAGGAAUAAAGUGAGGCACGUGUGCCUUUUUGUAUUUACUAUAUGAAUAAGGAUCGGCUAACUCCGUGCCAGCAGCCGCGGUAAUACGGAGGAUCCGAGCGUUAUCCGGAUGUAUUGGGUUUAAAGGGAGCGUAGUUGGGUUGUUAAGUCAGUUGUGAAAGUUUGCGGCUCAACCGUAAAAUUGCAAUUGAUACUGGCAGCCUUGAGUACAGUUGAGGUAGGCGGAAUUCGUGGUGUAGCGGUGAAAUGCUUAGAUAUCACGAAGAACUCCGAUUGCGAAGGCAGCCUACUAAACUGCCACUGACAUUGAUGCUCGAAAGUGUGGGUAUCAAACAGGAGUAGAUACCCGUGUAGUC